rnacentral:rRNA from 1 species
CGAACGGUGAACCCUCUUCGGAGGGGGAUCAGUGGCGAACGGGUGAGUAACACGUGAGCAACCUGCCCCUAACUCUGGGAUAACUCCGGGAAACCGGAGCUAAUACCGGAUACGAGACACUCGGGCAUCCGAUGUGUCUGGAAGGAUUUAUCGGUUAGGGAUGGGCUCGCGGCCUAUCAGCUUGUUGGCGGGGUAACGGCCCACCAAGGCGACGACGGGUAGCCGGCCUGAGAGGGCGACCGGCCACACUGGGACUGAGACACGGCCCAGACUCCUACGGGAGGCAGCAGUGGGGAAUAUUGCGCAAUGGGCGAAAGCCUGACGCAGCGACGCCGCGUGAGGGACGAAGGCCUUCGGGUUGUAAGCCUCUUUCAGCAGGGAAGAAGCGAAAGUGACGGUACCUGCAGAAGAAGCACCGGCUAACUACGUGCCAGCAGCCGCGGUAAUACGUAGGGUGCAAGCGUUGUCCGGAAUUAUUGGGCGUAAAGAGCUCGUAGGCGGUUUGUCGCGUCUGCUGUGAAAACUCGGGUCUUAACCCCGGGCCUGCAGUGGGUACGGGCAGACUAGAGUGCGGUAGGGGAGACUGGAAUUCCUGGUGUAGCGGUGAAAUGCGCAGAUAUCAGGAGGAACACCGGUGGCGAAGGCGGGUCUCUGGGCCGUAACUGACGCUGAGGAGCGAAAGCAUGGGGAGCGAACAGGAUUAGAUACCCUGGUAGUCCAUGCCGUAAGCGUUGGGCGCUAGGUGUGGGGCUCUUUCCACGAGUUCCGUGCCGCAGCAAACGCAUUAAGCGCCCCGCCUGGGGAGUACGGCCGCAAGGCUAAAACUCAAAGGAAUUGACGGGGGCCCGCGCAAGCGGCGGAGCAUGCGGAUUAAUUCGAUGCAACGCGAAGAACCUUACCAAGGCUUGACAUGAACGGUAAUCCGGCAGAGAUGUCGGGUCCGUAAGGGCCGUUCACAGGUGGUGCAUGGUUGUCGUCAGCUCGUGUCGUGAGAUGUUGGGUUAAGUCCCGCAACGAGCGCAACCCUCGUUCUAUGUUGCAGCACGUAAUGGUGGGGACUCAUAGGAGACUGCCGGGGUCAACUCGGAGGAAGGUGGGGAUGACGUCAAAUCAUCAUGCCCCUUAUGUCUUGGGCUUCACGCAUGCUACAAUGGCCAGUACAAAGGGCUGCGAGACCGUAAGGUGGAGCGAAUCCCAAAAAGCUGGUCUCAGUUCGGAUCGGGGUCUGCAACUCGACCCCGUGAAGUCGGAGUCGCUAGUAAUCGCAGAUCAGCAACGCUGCGGUGAAUACGUUCCCGGGCCUUGUACACACCGCCCGUCACGUCACGAAAGUCGGUAACACCCGAAGCCGGUGGCCCAACCCUUGUGGAGGGAGCCGUCGAAGGUGGGACUGGCGAUUGGGACGAAGUCGAAACAAGGUA